GCUGGGAUAGUUCAGUCAGGAGAACACGAGACUCUUAAUAUCAAGGUUGUGGGUUCAAGCCCCACGUUGGGCA